CCUACGGGAGGCAGCAGUGGGGAAUCUUGCGCAAUGGGGGCAACCCUGACGCAGCCAUGCCGCGUGAAUGAUGAAGGCCUUAGGGUUGUAAAGUUCUUUUGCCCGUGACGAUGAUGACGGUAACGGGAGAAUAAGCUCCGGCUAACUUCGUGCCAGCAGCCGCGGUAAUACGAAGGGGGCUAGCGUUGUUCGGAAUUACUGGGCGUAAAGCGCGCGCAGGCGGUUCGAUAAGUUAGGGGUGAAAUCCCUGGGCUCAACCCAGGAAUGGCCUUUAAGACUGUCGAGCUAGAGGACGAGAGAGGUGAGUGGAAUUCCCAGUGUAGAGGUGAAAUUCGUAGAUAUUGGGAAGAACACCGGUGGCGAAGGCGGCUCACUGGCUCGUUUCUGACGCUGAGGCGCGAAAGCGUGGGGAGCAAACAGGAUUAGAUACCCUGGUAGUCCACGCCCUAAACGAUGAGUGCCAGGUGUCGGGAAGCUUAGCUUCUCGGCACCGCAGCUAACGCCUUAAGCNCNCCGCCUGGAGUACGGCCGCGAGUAAACGUACGAAGAAGUAGACGCGUGAGAGUUGCGAGACGACGACGAGGGAGGAGG
rnacentral:rRNA from 1 species